CGCCAAAUUAAGCCUUCCUUCCCUCUUUCUAAAAGCAGCUUUUCUCGGGGAAUUACGGGAUAACUGAGCUUCGAUGACGCAAGGCUGUCAAGCUUGGGCCCAAAUGGCAGCCCCACCGUCGGAGGCUGAGCUUGUAGGUGGCGCUGAUAGGGGCACGAAAACCAAAACUGUGGGACUGGGAGUGACCGCUACUUCCCAGCCCGUAUUCCUCCUCAUUCUGACGCCAGCAGCCUAGACUCUAAUUGACAGUGUAAAGAGAGAAGAGUGGCGGCGAAAACAAUCGUACUACAGAACAUGGAUUCUCAACCGUGGGCUGCAGCACUUUUGGAGAGCCGGCGACCUUUUCACAGGGAUCCCAUAUGUGCUUGUAUAUCAUGUAUUUACAUCAUGACUCAUAAUAGUAGCAAAAUUAAAAUUAUGAAGUAUCAACAAAAUAAUUUUAUGGUUGGGGGGAGAGGGUCACCAUAACCUGAGGAACUUUAUUAAAGGGUCCCAGCAUUAGGAAGAAACUCUGGAAGAAGACAUGUAAGCAAGUAAUUGCAGAAGAAUUAUUUGAAUGUGAAAUGAAUUAAAAUAAAAACCUGCAAUUCAGUUAGA